GACGAACGCUGGCGGCGUGCUUAACACAUGCAAGUCGAACGAUGAAGAAGAGAAACGCGAACUUCGGUUCAAAUUUCACUUCGGAUUAGUGGCAGACGGGUGAGUAACGCGUGAGCAACCUACCUCUUACAAAGGGAUAGCCUCGGGAAACCGUGAUUAAUACCAUAUGACACAUUCAUAAGGCAUCUUAAGAAUGUUAAAGCUACGGCGGUAAGAGAUGGGAUCGCGUCCCAUUAGCUAGUUGGUGAGGUAACGGCCCACCAAGGCGACGAUGGGUAACCGGCCUGAGAGGCUGAAUGGUCACAUUGGAACUGAGACACGGUCCAAACUCCUACGGGAGGCAGCAGUGGGGAAUAUUGCACAAUGGAGGGAACUCUGAUGCAGCGACGCCGCGUGAGCGAUGAAGGAAUUCGUUUCGUAAAGCUCUGUUCUAUGGGAAGAAAAGGACUGUACCAUAGGAGAAAGCCCCGGCUAAAUACGUG
rnacentral:rRNA from 1 species